rnacentral:lncRNA from 10 species
UGAGAACAGAGUAGAAAAGUACAAGCUGGGCCAGCGCCGCUAAGUAGAUUAGUUGACUCUUUGGACUGUGAUAUUUAUAACAUGCCAAUUAAAGUAGGAAAGGGCUUCUGCUGAUGUGCCACAGGGCUGUUUUUCUACUGAUUUUGCCAAUAAUUUGGAUGAAAAGAAAAGAAAUGUUUAUAUAUAGUUCCCAUUAUGUACCGGAACUCGGCGAGUAGUCUCCAUCCUGGGCGUGGAAAGCCAGGCUGUGUC